UACGUAGGUGGCAAGCGAUACUCGGAAUCACUCGGCGUAAAGCGCAGGUAGGAGGUUGGAUAAGUCUCUUGUGAAAGCUCCCGGCUUAACUGGGAGAGGUCAAGGGAAACUGUUCAGCUAGAGUGUGGUAGAGGAAGAUGGAAUUUCCGGUGUAGCGGUGAAAUGCGUAGAUAUCGGAAGGAACAUCAGUGGCGAAAGCGGCUUCCUGGACCAGUACCGACGUUCAGGCACGAAAGCGUGGGGAGCAAACAGG
rnacentral:rRNA from 1 species